UGUGUGCGUGUGCCUGCAUUCGUCUGUGGGUGUGCCUGUGUGCAUUUCAAUAGAUCCUACAGCUUUUGGAGCUCAGCUCUUUUGGCAGCAAUCUGUUCGUCCAGUUUAAUGAGUUCAGCCAUCUUUUCCUUGUGGCUCCUUCUAAAGGCAUUCGAUUUUGCUAUUAGCUCCGCCAUCUUGCUGCCUGCUUGCUUGGCUUCAGCCUGGUCUGCCAACUUAUCAGCAUCCCUGAGCAGAUGUUCGGCUACCUCCUUGAUGGAUCUUCUGUGCUUUCUCAGUUGCUCCAGGUUCUCCUCAAUGGCCUUUCGUUUUUCUGACUCUGCUUGAGAUUCUCUCUUUUUUCUCUCCGUCUCAAGAUGAAUUCUAUAUCUUGCUCUGGAAGAUGAGACCGAGGAAAGCAGGGCUGGCGUGAGGGGGACCUUGGUAACCCCUCCAUGGAGAGAGAUGUAGUCACAGACGAUUCUCUGCGCUACAACGGUGUCUUCGUGAAUGUUAGCAGUUUCAAUUUCUUUGUUCACCGAAAAGCCCCGCUCAACUGUUGCCUGCCCGUGUGAUAGAAGUAGAAGCUUCUGGAUAAAGGACCAAAGUUGUGGUUCAGGGUUGCUGUACAUAAAGGCUGGGUUCAGACAAGUUAAUUGUCUAACAAUCGGAAACUUCAAAGGGCUCCUCUCCUGAAUCUUCUGGACCAUUUUGGAUAGACACUCCAUGCAUUGGUUUUGAAAAUGUAGGAUGGAAAGUUCCUCUGAGGAUUUACUCCGCUGUUGGAGUUCCUAAGGAUGAAUAAGGACUAGCUGAAGUGAACUGUCCCUGAUUACAACACAACUGUUUACAACACAACUCUCCUUGCUCUUUCCCUUUAACCACCAAAUUGCAAUUUUGUGAAACGCCUACUUGUCGGCCAUGAUUAUUUCCAGAAUACCUUUAUGGCAGUCUCUGCACCAAUGCCGAUGUCCACUGCCUUUGGAUGCACCCUCGACUGCUUGUCAGUGACAUCAAGCCGUACCAAGUGCUGAGGUGUGACAUCAGUCAGUAGCUCUCGCUUGAUGAAUCGCCUCAGCAAAUUCUACAAAACAGGGAAAACAUAUCCGAGAAUGAAAAUGUCUUUGGGACACAGUAGCAUCAUUGUCACAAUACACUUGAGCUAUUUGAAAUUGAUUAUAUAGAUGUAGUCUGUGGUCACAUAUUGGCCCAAAUCAACCAGCAGUAGUCUUAUUGUAAUGAAAAGAGAUGAUGUUAAAUAAAAAGACAUAUAUUCACACAGAUUCACUUAAAAGAUUCAGCUUACCUUCAGUAAUUCAGCCAAGUCAUUGGCAAAGAAUGGAAGCACAGGUUCAUCCGUUUGAUACUUUGUCAAGAAGGGUGUCACACUUCGUGAAACUGCCAUGAAAAAAUGCAGCUUUGCCAAAAUAAGAGGGUCUUUGGUUGCCACCUCGAUGGUGUCAUAAGAAGACGUUCCAGGGUUUGGGAGCUUCUUGGUUGUAACAGCAUCAAC